rnacentral:lncRNA from 1 species
AGGUAUUCAGAUCGGCUUUCCAAUUUCUCUCUGUAGCUCUCCUUUCUUUCUUACAACCCAUCUUAGUUUUAGAACAAGGUUUUGGGAUUUAAGACAAAGUCUUAUCUGAUCCAAACAAUGGUUGUAAGGGCCUUGAAGAAGAAAAAUCAAAAGUUCAGAGGAAGUUCUAAGAGGAUCAAGUCAGAUUCUUGGAGAAACCUGAUCGGUAUAGGGCUAGUUGAGUUCUAAAGGCU